UUAAGGUGAAAUGAAGUGUGGCCCAGUG
rnacentral:piRNA from 1 species